GACGAACGCUGACGGCGUGCCUACUACAUGCAAGUCGAAAGCAGUGGGGACGGGUGAGUAACACGUUCGUAACCUCCCAUCAGAGGGGAUAACACUUGGAAACAGGUGCUAAACCGAUACUGAUGGAUGGACCCGCGGUGCAUUAGCUAGUUGGUGAGGUAACGGCUCACCAAGGCCACGAUGCAUAGCCGACCGGAGGGGGUGAGCGGCAACACUGGAACUGAGACACGGCCCAGACUCCUACGGGAGGCAGCAGUAGGGAAUGUGCGGCAAUGGACGAAAGUCUGGCCGAGGAACGCGGCGUGAGUUAAGAAGGGUUUCGGAUCGUAAGACUCAGAUGUGUGUAAGGCGGUAACUAACCAGAGAGCCACGGCUAAGUACGUGGCAGCAGCCGCGGUAAUAC
rnacentral:rRNA from 1 species